GUGAACGCUGGCGGUAGGCCUAACCCAUGCCCGUCGAACGGCAGCACCGUAAGAGCUUGCUCUUACGGGUGGCGAGUGGCGGACGGGUGAGGAAUACAUCGGAAUCUACUUUUUCGUGGGGGAUAACGUAGGGAAACUUACGCUAAUACCGCAUACGACCUACGGGUGAAAGCAGGGGAUCUUCGGACCUUGCGCGAUUGAAUGAGCCGAUGUCGGAUUAGCUAGUUGGCGGGGUAAAGGCCCACCAAGGCGACGAUCCGUAGCUGGUCUGAGAGGAUGAUCAGCCACACUGGAACUGAGACACGGUCCAGACUCCUACGGGAGGCAGCAGUGGGGAAUAUUGGACAAUGGGCGCAAGCCUGAUCCAGCCAUACCGCGUGGGUGAAGAAGGCCUUCGGGUUGUAAAGCCCUUUUGUUGGGAAAGAAAAGCAGCAGGUUAAUACCCCGCUGUUCUGACGGUACCCAAAGAAUAAGCACCGGCUAACUUCGUG
rnacentral:rRNA from 1 species